UACAGAGGGUGCAAGCGUUGUUCGGAAUUACUGGGCGUAAAGCGCGUGUAGGCGGCGGCGUAAGUCGAAUGUGAAAGCCCUUGGCUUAACCAAGGAAGUGCAUUCGAUACUGUGUCGCUUGAGUACCGGAGGGGAUGGCGGAAUUCCUGGUGUAGAGGUGAAAUUCGUAGAUAUCAGGAGGAACACCUGUGGCGAAGGCGGCCAUCUGGACGGUGACUGACGCUGAGACGCGAAAGCGUGGGUAGCAAACAGG
rnacentral:rRNA from 2 species